rnacentral:rRNA from 1 species
ACGCUGGCGGCGUGCCUAAUACAUGCAAGUCUAGCGAAUGGAUUAAGAGCUUGCUCUUAUGAAGUUAGCGGCGGACGGGUGAGUAACACGUGGGUAACCUGCCCAUAAGACUGGGAUAACUCCGGGAAACCGGGGCUAAUACCGGAUAACAUUUUGAACCGCAUGGUUCGAAAUUGAAAGGCGGCUUCGGCUGUCACUUAUGGAUGGACCCGCGUCGCAUUAGCUAGUUGGUGAGGUAACGGCUCACCAAGGCAACGAUGCGUAGCCGACCUGAGAGGGUGAUCGGCCACACUGGGACUGAGACACGGCCCAGACUCCUACGGGAGGCAGCAGUAGGGAAUCUUCCGCAAUGGACGAAAGUCUGACGGAGCAACGCCGCGUGAGUGAUGAAGGCUUUCGGGUCGUAAAACUCUGUUGUUAGGGAAGAACAAGUGCUAGUUGAAUAAGCUGGCACCUUGACGGUACCUAACCAGAAAGCCACGGCUAACUACGUGCCAGCAGCCGCGGUAAUACGUAGGUGGCAAGCGUUAUCCGGAAUUAUUGGGCGUAAAGCGCGCGCAGGUGGUUUCUUAAGUCUGAUGUGAAAGCCCACGGCUCAACCGUGGAGGGUCAUUGGAAACUGGGAGACUUGAGUGCAGAAGAGGAAAGUGGAAUUCCAUGUGUAGCGGUGAAAUGCGUAGAGAUAUGGAGGAACACCAGUGGCGAAGCGACUUUCUGGUCUGUAACUGACACUGAGGCGCGAAAGCGUGGGGAGCAAACAGGAUU